rnacentral:rRNA from 2 species
UGGGGAAUAUUGGACAAUGGGCGAAAGCCUGAUCCAGCAAUGCCGCGUGAGUGAUGAAGGCCCUAGGGUUGUAAAGCUCUUUUACCCGGGAUGAUAAUGACAGUACCGGGAGAAUAAGCCCCGGCUAACUCCGUG